GUUACCGACAAUNGGUUAAGGCGAAAGAUUAGAAAUCUUUUGGGCUCUGCCCGCGCAGGUUCGAAUCCUGCAGUUGUCG
rnacentral:tRNA from 1 species